UUUGUACUCCCUCCUCCCAAAAAUAUUGUCUUAAAUUUGUCUAAAUACGGAUGUAUCUAGUUACAUUUUAGUGUUAGAUACAUCUGUAUCUAAACAAAUGUAAGACAAGAAUUUUGGGACGGAGGGAAUACUAC
rfam:Triticum aestivum genome assembly, contig: Triticum_aestivum_CS42_TGACv1_scaffold_423253_5BS